AUGUUACGAUUCAAAUUAACACCUUUUCAAAACGUAUACAAAGUGGCUCAUACGGAAACUUCGAACUUACCCGAACGAGAUUUUGAAAUGUGUGUAUAUAUAUAUGGAUAGCUCACAUUCGACACCCUCAUAACUAACACACUCUCUCUGUUCGAAUAACGACCUCGUCUGCGGGACUUGCAAGCCGCCGGAGUUCAUCGAGUUACGAUGGGACACGGUUCCUCUCGUUUCGCCAUCCCACCGGGGAUAUACGGACAUUUCCGGAGAUCGAGAAGGCAACCGGAGUGACCUGCACGCCUGUCGGAGCUACGAGUCGUCGCCCGAAGAUCGGAGGCAACGUGGGAAACGACCGAAGCCACAACGAGACUGAUUCAUCUUGUCGGAUAAUCCCUAUUGUUCGUUACUUUGGAAUUCUCCAUCUUUACUCGUGUAUUUACAAGAAAUCACAACGCAACCAAUGUUGAUAGAUGAAGUGAUCAAGAAAACAAGCUAGGAUGAACCUAGAAACCCAUUUAGAAUAAACAAUGUUUUGAACUAUUUUUGGUACAAUGUUUGAAUCUUGUAUGACAUUUUAGCAUUUAUGA
rnacentral:lncRNA from 1 species